rnacentral:lncRNA from 1 species
GGAUCUGCAAUUGUAUUCCUGUUUCAAGCCCCGUUUUCUUGCAGCUCUUCGGCACUGCAAACCUAACCGCUAAUGGCGCUGUGGGUGGAGAAACGUUUGUUAGGCAACAACAGAAUUCUGCGAAACUUGGUUGGUUGGAGGAGCACACCAAAAAUAAAGUACCGGAGCCGGCACGGCUUCAAAAAAAUUAGGAUCAGUACCGCUAGUAGCGAACGCAUAAGAAGGGCUUCCUGUAUGCCUGCGUAUCUUGUUUAAGCCUAAAGAUAUGUACUCUCUUUAUCCUCUUUUUUUGAGACGAGGAAGUAGACCCAGCAUGCCCGAGAUCACACAUUUUACAAGGAAGAAGUAGGAUCCAGACCCAGGGAGUUUAACUUCAAAACUUGAACGUUUAACAAUCAGGUCUUGCUGCCCUACUCAUAAAGAGACCCAAAUAAAAACAACAUGACGCCAUUUUUUUCCAUGUGUUUAGACUGGCAAACUUGUGAAGUCGCUUAAUACCAAAUGUGUACCAAGAUGUAAGGAAAUGAUGUGAGAAUGUCAUUAGUAUAACCUUUUAGGAGGAGUAAUUUGACAAUAUGAGAGGCUUGAGCGGAUUGAUUCAGCAAUUUCACCACUAAGAAAGUAUGCAACAAUUAUUUUUGCACCAAUAUCCAAAGAUUUACUACAAAGAUUUCUGGCAGCAAUUUUUGUGUGUGUGUGGCAAGAAAAAAAAAAGCAUUCUAAUUGUCCAUCGAUAGAGGAACUUAAAGUAUGGAAUAUUAAUACAAUGGCAUAUUACCCUUUUUAAAAAAAGUAAAUUGUAUCUGAAUAUGCUGAUAUAUAAAUACCUCCAAAAGGUAUUGAGUUUUAAACAAAGCAACUUGCAGAAUUAAACAUAUGCGUACGUAUACAGAGAGAGAAGAGAGAGGGAUGGUAUUUGUUUGCGUCCGUGUGUGUGUGUGUGUGUGUGUGUGUGUGUGUGUGUGUUUGCGCAGAACAUUCCUGGAGGAUAUGCAAGAAACUGUUAAUGAUUACCUCUGGUGGGUGAGCCUAGGAAGGAAAGCUUCUGAGGAUCUUUACUUUCCACAUUUAGCUUCCCUGUACUGUGCUGUUUGAAUAUUUUUCCAAUGAAUGUAUACUAUAAUUAUAGUAUUAUAACAGUACAAGAUUAUAACAGUACAAGAUUACUAUAAAAUUAAUUACAAAUAAAAGCUGAGAAUCACUUUUGCACCUAAACCUUUUGAAUUUAGGGGUGAAAGUCACAGGAGAGACUGGAAAGGGAGGAAGAAAAGAAAAACAUUUUUCUCUUUGCUUCCAUGAAGCCACAAAGUGCUUUGAAUAGUGCCUGGCAUAAAGCUUCUUACAUCAUGGUUGCAGGAUGGCUGCUACAGCUCUGGACAUCACAUCAAAAUAUGGCAGAAGCUAAAGCAGGAAGACAGAGAAGGAGGCAAAACAGCUUUAUUCACUUGUGGCUCUCAUAUGAAGAAUAAAGAUAUUUCUCGAAACCUUCUAGUGAAAUCCUUAUAUCUUAUUGGCCAGAACUGGCUUACAUAAAUUAUGAUUUGUUGUCUGGAGCUGGAUGCAUUGCUACCUAAACAAAACUGGAGUUCUGUUAGCAAGGAGGAAGAGUUUGUGGCAGUAAGGUAGGCAAUCACAUUCUCUGCCAUAAUUGAUAAAGUUCCUGUGAAACCUAGUGGCACCCUAAUUCCUGAGUGUCAUUCCUUU